UGUUUUCAGAAUCGUUGUGUUUGUUGACUCGUUUUUUUUUGGGAAUGUCUAUUUUGAAAGCCAAAUUAGGGAGGAAAUUGGCUUGUGUCAUUUGUGGAAUUGUCUAUGAAGACGAAAAUAGAAAAAUUUGUGCCUUUUCAGUACCAAAGAAAAUGUUUGAUAGGUGGAAUUCGAUCAUACCUGAACUUAAAAGAACAUCGAGACUGUGCGACAUUCAUUUUGAAGAAUCUGAUAUAGUGAAGGGUUUCAAAGUUCACCAGAAAUUUCAUCCCCUAGAAAGGUGGAGGUUAAUUCAGUCAGCUAUUCCAAAGUUUUUCUUCGUUAAAAGAAAUUCAUCAUUCACAUCUGCUCGUAAACCUUUACAGCAGCUUUUGAAUGUCAACAGCCAUGAAAAUAACAACCUGGCCAAUAAAAAGUUCAAAUAAUUGUGAUUCUACAGCAACACACACACAAGAAGAUUUCAGAACACGCUGCUAAGUGAAAAAAACCAAUAAUAAAAUCAUUGCUGGUACACGAACUCCGCUUACUACCAACUCGGAAAAUGAAAAUCAAAUUGCAGAGAGCAUGGUUCAGAUGAAAAUCAUUUCUUCAAAGCAGAGGUAAUCGGAAUAAUUGGAUUUCAUUUAUAUUGCAAUGCAAUAAAAAACGCCACUGGGUGUCGGCCUUCGAGAUUUAUGUAGGGCAAAUUAGUAGAAAAGUUUAUCCGAAAUCCAAAAGUCACAUUUCUCUGCAUGACAGCAUCCAGAACAAAUGACAAACGACAGCCGCCUACGAUAUUUGUAAACAAACAGUCACACAGAAAAUAAAAGUUAUAAAAUGAACACAAACACCAACAGAUUUGAA